rnacentral:rRNA from 1 species
UACGUAGGGUGCGAGCGUUAAUCGGAAUUACUGGGCGUAAAGCGUGCGCAGGCGGUUUUGUAAGACAGGCGUGAAAUCCCCGGGCUCAACCUGGGAAUGGCGCUUGUGACUGCAAAGCUGGAGUGCGGCAGAGGGGGAUGGAAUUCCGCGUGUAGCAGUGAAAUGCGUAGAUAUGCGGAGGAACACCGAUGGCGAAGGCAAUCCCCUGAGCCUGCACUGACGCUCAUGCACGAAAGCGUGGGGAGCAAACGAGG